UCGCCUUUCCCAGAGGUCAGGAGCAGCUCUUUCCCUGAGAGCACAUCAGAGCACAGCCCUGGUGCUUUGGGAUUGAGCUUGUGACAUCCUCUGUGAAGAAUCCAGGAGAAACAGCCCAGCCAGGACUUCAGAGCCAGCAGCUGAUUUGUAGAUUAUGGCGUCCUGUGUGGCAGUGGAUGGGGACAGAGGGAGAGCAUUCACCCUUUGACACAGCAGCAUUUGGUCCAGAAGAGGUUGCAAGUGCCCUAGGAAUCCCCUUCACUCUGACUGCUCUGGGGACUGCUGGAUGCAAGAGAUCUCUUCUGCCUGGGGAGAGCACAGCGGUGUGUCCGUGGCUCUUGUGACACUGAAUAUGGCCCCUGUGAAGACUGCGGUUUCUGUGGAUGGGGUCUGGUCACAGCCUGUGGUGACUCAGGAGCCUUCAGUGUCUUCGGUGUCCCCAGGAGGGACUGUCACUCUGUCCUGCAGCCUGAGCACUGGAGCCAUCACCACUGGCAACUAUCCCUCCUGGUACCAGCAGAAACCUGGCUCUGCCCCUCAGCUGCUUAUUUAUGAAACUAAUAAGAGACCCUCUGGGAUCCCCACCCGGUUCUCCGGGUCCAUCUCUGGUCAGAAGGCCGCCUUAACUAUCACCGGGGCCCAAGCUGAGGACGAGGCCGACUACUACUGUAUGGUGUAUACUGGCAGCAGCAGUGCGGUACGACACUGUGUUUCAUCCUGAUGAGGAACUGAGACACAAACCUCCCUCUUCUCUUGUCUCUUCAUGGGCCUUUUCAGGCUUUGCCUGCUCAGGCUGCAGACUUUGGCCUUGGCCAGGAACAGGUCUAACUGCUUUGGUUUGUUUCUUUCAGAAGCCCAGCCCUUGUGUCCAGCGGGGACGGCCCUUUCCUGCUCCCACCUGCCUGAAAUCAGGAAGCUUCUUUUCCAGGUUCACCAUUGCUGCAAAUUUUCUUCAGGUCACCUGAGCCAACCCACUCUGUGCUUUUUUUCCCUUGAUGGCAUAGUUUCAUGGUCUCCAUGCUACCAAACCGUAAUAUCAAAAUAUUGCACACUGAGACCCAAUAUGAGGUGAAGCCUAUGGUGUAUCAGUUAUACUCCCUUACACCUACAUGGCAACAUGGAGACAUCCAACAAGAUAAGUGUUACAUGUGUGAGUACCCUGGAUCCAUCUUAAAUUUGUCCAAGGCAGCAUCAUGGCAUCAAUGUAUUCACUGUCUACUGGCCAGCCAGCUUCAUAUCUUGGCCUCUUCCCUUCCCCACCCAGCUGAAUGGGAAAUGGCUCUAGCUGCUGCUUCAUUGUCAAGUUCCUAAAUCAAAUCCUGGAGCACUUAUACAUGUGACAGUGGUUUAAUGCCCAUGGUUUUAUUCUAUGCUCCCUAGUUUUUAAUUGAAACCCACUGUUUCAAUUUUCCCAUUAUG